UACGUAGGGUGCGAGCGUUGUCCGGAAUUAUUGGGCGUAAAGGGCUCGUAGGCGGUUUGUCGCGUCGGGAGUGGAAACAUCCAGCUUAACUGGGUGCUUGCUUUCGAUACGGGCAGACUAGAGGUAUGCAGGGGAGAACGGAAUUCCUGGUGUAGCGGUGAAAUGCGCAGAUAUCAGGAGGAACACCGGUGGCGAAGGCGGUUCUCUGGGCAUGAUCUGACGCUGAGGAGCGAAAGCGUGGGGAGCGAACAGG
rnacentral:rRNA from 1 species